AUUGAACGCUGGCGGCAUGCCUUACACAUGCAAGUCGAACGGUAACAGGUCUUCGGAUGCUGACGAGUGGCGAACGGGUGAGUAAUACAUCGGAACGUGCCCGAUCGUGGGGGAUAACGGAGCGAAAGCUUUGCUAAUACCGCAUACGAUCUACGGAUGAAAGCAGGGGACCGCAAGGCCUUGCGCGGACGGAGCGGCCGAUGGCAGAUUAGGUAGUUGGUGGGAUAAAAGCUUACCAAGCCGACGAUCUGUAGCUGGUCUGAGAGGACGACCAGCCACACUGGGACUGGGACACGGCCCAGCCUCCUACGGGAGGCAGCAGUGGGGAAUUUUGGACAAUGGGCGAAAGCCUGAUCCAGCCAUGCCGCGUGCAGGAUGAAAGCCUUCGGGUUGUAAACUGCUUUUGUACGGAACGAAAAGACUCUUUCUAAUAAAGAGGGUCCAUGACGGUACCGUAAGAAUAAGCACCGGCUAACUACGUG
rnacentral:rRNA from 1 species